rnacentral:rRNA from 1 species
UACGAAGGGGGCUAGCGUUGCUCGGAAUCACUGGGCGUAAAGCGCACGUAGGCGGAUCUUUAAGUCAGGGGUGAAAUCCCGGGGCUCAACCUCGGAACUGCCUUUGAUACUGCAAAUCUCGAGUCCGAUAGAGGUGGGUGGAAUUCCUAGUGUAGAGGUGAAAAUUCGUAGAUAUUAGGAAGAACACCGGUGGCGAAGGCGGCCCACUGGAUCGGUACUGACGCUGAGGUGCGAAAGCGUGGGGAGGCAAACAGG